rnacentral:piRNA from 1 species
UAGCUAUUUUAUUUGUGAUGUCUGUCUGCC